rnacentral:rRNA from 1 species
GACGAACGCUGGCGGCGUGCCUAAUACAUGCAAGUCGAGCGAAGUUUUUCCGGUGCUUGCACCGGAAAAACUUAGCGGCGAACGGGUGAGUAACACGUAAAGAACCUGCCUCAUAGACAGGGACAACUAUUGGAAACGAUAGCUAAUACCGGAUAAUAGCAUUAACUGCAUGGUUGAUGUUUAAAAGUUGGUUUUGCUAACACUAUGAGAUGGCUUUGCGGUGCAUUAGCUAGUUGGUGGGGUAAAGGCCUACCAAGGCGACGAUGCAUAGCCGACCUGAGAGGGUGAUCGGCCACACUGGGACUGAGACACGGCCCAGACUCCUACGGGAGGCAGCAGUAGGGAAUCUUCCGCAAUGGGCGAAAGCCUGACGGAGCAACGCCGCGUGAGUGAAGAAGGAUUUCGGUUCGUAAAGCUCUGUUGUUAGGGAAGAAUGAUUGUGUAGUAACUAUACACAGUAGAGACGGUACCUAACCAGAAAGCCACGGCUAACUACGUG